AGAGGGACAGCUGGGUCAGAUGGUGGUUCCAUUCCCAAUUUUCCAAGUAAUGUCCAUACUGCUUUCCAUAUUGGCUGCACCAAUUUGCAGUCCUAUCAGCAGU
rnacentral:pre_miRNA from 1 species